UGGGGAAUAUUGGGCAAUGGGCGCAAGCCUGACCCAGCAACGCCGCGUGAAGGAAGAAGGCUUUCGGGUUGUAAACUUCUUUUAAGGGGAAGGAGCAGAAGACGGUACCCCUGCAUAAGCCACGGCUAACUACGUGCCAGCAGCCGCGGUAAUACGUAGGUGGCAAGCGUUGUCCGGAUUUACUGGGUGUAAAGGGCGUGCAGCCGGAGAGGCAAGUCAGAUGUGAAAUCCGCGGGCUCAACCCGCGAACUGCAUUUGAAACUGCUUCCCUUGAGUAUCGGAGAGGUAACCGGAAUUCCUAGUGUAGCGGUGAAAUGCGUAGAUAUUAGGAAGAACACCAGUGGCGAAGGCGGGUUACUGGACGACAACUGACGGUGAGGCGCGAAAGCGUGGGGAGCAAACAGGAUUAGAUACC
rnacentral:rRNA from 1 species